UAGUCUCAAAUUUUGAGGAUAAAUAAUCCCUCCUGAUGGAACUUUCCAGCAGUGUCAAGAUCUAAAAUGGGCACAAGAGUAAGUAACCCAACUUCUUAACAAAAACAAAAGAUUAGGAAAGAAACAAGAAGCACCCUGUUGAUUCAGCAUGUGUUUGCAAAAAGAUUAGAAUAACACAUUAUUACUAAAUGAUAUGGAACUAAAGCUUGCAUGACAGAAGCCAUUUAAGUAGAAUAGAAAACAAUUACCAAGAUCCUACACCUUUUCCAUUAUGCUUAGGUUUUCACACCUGGUGAGCUUGUAUCAAAUAAAAGAAACAACAAUUGUAAGGCUUCAAAUCCCACAUUCUCCUCUUCUCUUCUAAUUUCUCCUAGCUCAAUGUUCCUUUUAUCCCGUUAUUGCCUUCUUC
rnacentral:lncRNA from 1 species